rnacentral:rRNA from 1 species
UGGGGAAUUUUCCGCAAUGGGCGAAAGCCUGACGGAGCAAUACCGCGUGAGGGAGGAAGGCUCUUGGGUUGUAAACCUCUUUUCUCAGGGAAGAAGAAAGUGACGGUACCUGAGGAAUAAGCAUCGGCUAACUCCGUGCCAGCAGCCGCGGUAAUACGGAGGAUGCAAGCGUUAUCCGGAAUGAUUGGGCGUAAAGGGUCCGCAGGUGGCACUGUAAGUCUGCUGUCAAAGAGCAAGGCUCAACCUUGUAAAGGCAGUGGAAACUACAGAGCUAGAGUACGUUCGGGGCAGAAGGAAUUCCUGGUGUAGCGGUGAAAUGCGUAGAGAUCAGGAAGAACACCGGUGGCGAAAGCGUUCUGCUAGGCCUGUACUGACACUGAGGGAC